GUAAGACCAUAAACUAUUUAUCAAUUCAUCAUUUGAUCAAUUGUUUGUGGACUUACAG
rnacentral:pre_miRNA from 1 species